GACGAACGCUGGCGGCGUGCUUAACACAUGCAAGUCGAACGGAAAUGCCCUGCUUUUGUGGGGUGCUCGAGUGGCGAACGGGUGAGUAACACGUGAGUAACCUGCCCUUGACUUUGGGAUAACUUCAGGAAACUGGGGCUAAUACCGGAUAGGAGCUCCUGCUGCAUGGUGGGGGCUGGAAAGUUUCGGCGGUUGGGGAUGGACUGGCGGCUUAUCAGCUUGUUGGUGGGGUAGUGGCUUACCAAGGCUUUGACGGGUAGCCGGCCUGAGAGGGUGACCGGCCACAUUGGGACUGAGAUACGGCCCAGACUACUACGGGAGGCAGCAGUGGGGAAUAUUACACAAUGGGCGGAAGCAUGAUGCAGCAACGCCGCGUGCGGGAUGACGGCCUUCGGGUUGUAAACCGCUUUCGCCUGUGACGAAGCGUGAGUGAAGGUAAUGGGUAAAGAAGCACCGGCUAACUACGUG
rnacentral:rRNA from 1 species